rnacentral:rRNA from 1 species
UACGUAGGGUGCAACGUUAAUCGGAAUUACUGGGCGUAAAGCGUGCGCAGGCGGUGAUGUAAGACAGUUGUGAAAUCCCCGGGCUCAACCUGGGAACUGCAUCUGUGACUGCAUCGCUGGAGUGCGGCAGAGGGGGAUGGAAUUCCGCGUGUAGCAGUGAAAUGCGUAGAUAUGCGGAGGAACACCGAUGGCGAAGGCAGCCUCCUGGGCCAGCACUGACGCUCAGUGCACGAAAGCGUGGGGAGCAAACAG